rnacentral:lncRNA from 1 species
UGGGAAGAAAAGUCAUAAAUUCACAUCCAUGAACAGGAGGAGAAGGGGAACUGCUAUAGAGACGCACAGUGAUGACCCCUGCAUGCAUUUUUCAGUCAACAAGAGCAUCUCGUGACUUCUGUCUUCAUUGGCACCUACUCACCUUCAUCAAGCAUGGCAGGGACAAAAAGGACAGGGCACCUGAAGUUUUGGAUGUUUGAAAAAUGUGCUAAAGAAGGCUUAAUCCCUGGAAGCCGUGAGAAGAUCUGUUUUCCAGGUGUUGCCCCAGGGGAUAAUGACACUCCUCAGUCCUCACUGGCCCACUCUGGCUGGGCCAGCACCCAUACUUUCUCCAUGACCUUGCAUGCGUCCUUCCAACAGAACAGAAUCUAUUGAGAGGUAGACCUCUUGAGUCCGGGGUCUGUGUCUACUGUGUCAUUAUUCAGGGCUGAUGCAUGCCAGGUGAACAAUAAAUACAGAUGCUUCUCUCAUUAACGCUUCUCUAUCAUUUAAUAUCUUCCUUACAUCUAUUCUGAAUCUCAAAUUCCCUUGUCUAGUUGCC